rnacentral:rRNA from 1 species
UACGUAGGGUGCGAGCGUUAAUCGGAAUUACUGGGCGUAAAGCGUGCGCAGGCGGUUUUGCAAGCCGGAUGUGAAAUCCCCGGGCUCAACCUGGGAAUGGCAUUCGGGACUGCAAGGCUGGAGUGCGGCAGAGGAGACUGGAAUUCCUGGUGUAGCAGUGAAAUGCGUAGAUAUCAGGAGGAACACCGGCGGCGAAGGCGGCCCUCUGGAUCGUUGCUGACGCUGAUACGCGAAAGCGUGGGGAGCAAACAGG